UACGUAGGGGGCAAGCGUUGUCCGGAAUCAUUGGGCGUAAAGCGCGUGUAGGCGGCUCGAUAAGUCUGCUGUGAAAGUCCAGGGCUCAACCCUGGGAUGCCGGUGGAUACUGUCGAGCUCGAGUCCGGAAGAGGCGAGUGGAAUUCCUGGUGUAGCGGUGAAAUGCGCAGAUAUCAGGAGGAACACCAAUGGCGAAGGCAGCUCGCUGGGACGUGACUGACGCUGAGACGCGAAAGCGUGGGGAGCAAACAGGAUUAAGACUACCCGACGUAAGUCCA
rnacentral:rRNA from 1 species